CACGUCUAACACAUGCAAGUCCGAGGGGUAAGAAAGAGCUUGCUCUUCCUAGACCGGCGUACGGGUGCGUAACGCGUGUACAAUCUACCUUUUACAGAGGGAUAACCUGAAGAAAUUUGGACUAAUACCUCAUGGUAUUACUUUAUGGCAUCAUAGGGUAAUUAAAGCUACGGUGGUAAAAGAUGAGUACGCGUUCUAUUAGCUAGUUGGAGUGGUAACGGCACCCCAAGGCUACGGAUAGAUAGGGGUCCUGAGAGGGAGAUCCCCCACACUUGGUACUGAGACAGGGACCAGACUCCUACGGGAGGCAGCACUGAGGAAUAUUGGUCAAUGGUCGGAAGACUGAACCAGCCAUGCCGCGUGCAGGAAGACGGCCUUAUGGGUUGUAAACUGCUUUUGCAAGGGAAGAAUAAGCUCUACGAGUAGAGUGAUGACGGUACUUUGCGAAUAAGCAUCGGCUAACUCCGUGCCAGCAGCCGCGGUAAUACGGAUUGGUAUGCGAGCGUUAUCCGGAAUCAUUGGGUUUAAAGGGUCUGUAGGCGGGUUGUUAAGUCCAGGGGUGAAAGUUUACGGCUUAACCGUAAAAUUGCCUUUGAUACUGGCUAUCUUGAAUUAUUGUGAAGUUGUUAGAAUGUGUAGUGUAGCGGUGAAAUGCAUAGAUAUUACACAGAAUACCGAUUGCGAAGGCAGAUGACUAACAAUAGAUUGACGCUAGAGAGACGAAAGCCGUGGGGAGCGAACAGGAUUAGGAUACCCUGGUAGUCCACCGCUGUAAACGAUGGGAUACUAGCUGUUUGGCAUUAUAGUUUGAGUGGCUAAGCGAAAGUGAUAAGUAUCCCACCUGGGGAGUACGCACGCAAGUGUGAAACUCAAAGGAAUUGACGGGGGCCCGCACAAGCGGUGGAGCAUGUGGUUUAAUUCGAUGAUACGCCGAGGAACCUUACCAAGGUUUAAAUGGGACAGGAGUAACGUAGAGAUAUGUUAGCCACAAUGGUCUGUUUCAAGGUGCUGCAUGGUUGUCCGUCAGCUCGUGCCUGAGGUGUCACGGCUAAGUCCUAUAACC
rnacentral:rRNA from 1 species